rnacentral:rRNA from 1 species
UACGAAGGGUGCAAGCGUUACUCGGAAUUACUGGGCGUAAAGCGUGCGUAGGCGGUUUGUUAAGUCCGUUGUGAAAGCCCUGGGCUCAACCUGGGAAUUGCAGUGGAUACUGGCAAGCUAGAGUACGGUAGAGGAUGGUGGAAUUCCCGGUGUAGCGGUGAAAUGCGUAGAGAUCGGGAGGAACACCCGUGGCGAAGGCGGCCAUCUGGACCAGUACUGACGCUGAGGCACGAAAGCGUGGGAGCAAACAGG